AACGCGAAGAACCUUACCUGGGCUCGAACGGCUGGUCAACGCCGGUGGAAACAUCGGUACCCCGCAAGGGGGUCCAGUCGAGGUGCUGCAUGGCUGUCGUCAGCUCGUGUCGUGAGAUGUUGGGUUAAGUCCCGCAACGAGCGCAACCCUUGUCCUGUGUUGCCAUCAUUCAGUUGGGAACUCGCAGGAGACCGCCAGCGAUAAGCUGGAGGAAGGUGGGGAUGACGUCAAGUCCUCAUGGCCUUUAUGUCCAGGGCUACACACGUGCUACAAUGGACGGUACAGAGCGUCCCAAACCCGCGAGGGGGAGGCAAUCGCAAAAAACCGUUCUCAGUUCGGAUUGCAGGCUGCAACUCGCCUGCAUGAAGCUGGAAUCGCUAGUAAUGGCAGAUCAGCACGCUGCCGUGAAUACGUUCCCGGGUCUUGUACACACGC
rnacentral:rRNA from 1 species